ensembl:snRNA U6 U6 spliceosomal RNA
GUGCUUGUUUCAGCAGCAUAUAUACUAAAAUUGGAAUGAUAUAGAGAAGAUUAGCAUGGCUCCUAAACAAGGAUGACACAGAAAUUUGUGAAGGAUUCCAUAUUUGU